GCUAGUUGGUGGGGUAAAGGCCUACCAAGGCGACGAUCCGUAGCUGGUCUGAGAGGACGACCAGCCACACUGGGACUGAGACACGGCCCAGACUCAUACGGGAGGCAGCAGUGGGGAAUUUUGGACAAUGGGCGAAAGCCUGAUCCAGCAAUGCCGCGUGUGUGAAGAAGGCCUUCGGGUUGUAAAGCACUUUUGUCCGGAAAGAAAUCCUUCGAGAUAAUACCUUGAGGGGAUGACGGUACCGGAAGAAUAAGCACCGGCUAACUACGUGCCAGCAGCCGCGGUAAUACGUAGGGUGCGAGCGUUAAUCGGAAUUACUGGGCGUAAAGCGUGCGCAGGCGGUGAUGUAAGACCGAUGUGAAAUCCCCGGGCUUAACCUGGGAACUGCAUUGGUGACUGCAUCGCUGGAGUAUGGCAGAGGGGGGUAGAAUUCCACGUGUAGCAGUGAAAUGCGUAGAGAUGUGGAGGAAUACCGAUGGCGAAGGCAGCCCCCUGGGCCAAUACUGACGCUCAUGCACGAAAGCGUGGGGAGCAAACAGGAUUAGAUACCCUGGUAGUCCACGCCCUAAACGAUGUCAACUGGUUGUCGGGCCUUCAUUGGCUUGGUAACGUAGCUAACGCGUGAAGUUGACCGCCUGGGGAGUACGGUCGCAAGAUUAAAACUCAAAGGAAUUGACGGGGACCCGCACAAGCGGUGGAUGAUGUGGAUUAAUUCGAUGCAACGCGAAAAACCUUACCUACCCUUGACAUGUACGGAACCCUGCCGAGAGGUGGGGGUGCCCGAAAGGGAGCCGUAA
rnacentral:rRNA from 1 species